AGCGAACGCUGGCGGCAGGCCUAACACAUGCAAGUCGAACGAAGUCUUCGGACUUAGUGGCGGACGGGUGAGUAACACGUGGGAACGUGCCUUUAGGUUCGGAAUAACUCAGGGAAACUUGUGCUAAUACCGAAUGUGCCCUUCGGGGGAAAGAUUUAUCGCCUUCAGAGCGGCCCGCGUCUGAUUAGCUAGUUGGUGAGGUAAAGGCUCACCAAGGCGACGAUCAGUAGCUGGUCUGAGAGGAUGAUCAGCCACAUUGGGACUGAGACACGGCCCAAACUCCUACGGGAGGCAGCAGUGGGGAAUCUUGCGCAAUGGGCGAAAGCCUGACGCAGCCAUGCCGCGUGAAUGAUGAAGGUCUUAGGAUUGUGAAAUUCUUUCACCGGGGACGAUAAUGACGGUACCCGGAGAAGAAGCCCCGGCUAACUUCGUGCCAGCAGCCGCCGUAA
rnacentral:rRNA from 1 species